UAGCAUUAUUCUAAUUGUUUCCAUGAUAUGAGUGAAUGCUAGAGGCAUCUCAGGGGAGCCCCAGGGCUGUGUUUCUCCUGUGCUCUGUCUUAUUUCAUCCCUGCGACAUCA